rnacentral:lncRNA from 1 species
AUGUGGUCCUUUGGGUCUAUUGCAACACCAGAAUACCACAUGAGAGCAACAUCUGAAAUUCAGUUGUGUGUUGGAACAUAUCUGUUUUCCCAGGAAAACUGUAUUCAGAAUCCAACUGACAGGUCAAGAACACUUCAUCUGCAGCUUGUAACAGGAUAUUUUGAGAAUGUGCUUCUGUUUUUGACAUAUGUUGGAAAAGGCACUAUAUGGACCAUAUCUCACCUGCAGAGCAAACUGUAAGAAAAGUGGUUGUAUUGUCUGUUUCUCACUGAUAAAUGUACUUAGUGUUUUAAAAAGAGUAAAGCUAGCAUUCUUUUAAGGUAGUAAAGCUACCACUUUGCUGUAAUAGAAAACAUCUAUCUUCUGUUUGAAGAGAUACCAGAUUUUUGUUGUUGUUGAUUUGUUUGUUUUUAAAGAAUUGUAAAAUCAGCUUUCAGGCAAAAAAUUUCCAGCUGACUUGAGCAACAGCAAAAAACCAUGAGACUAGGGCUAGCAGGGGGCUUUGCCACAGCUGUCUGUAAGUGACAAUGUAUCAUCAGCUUAUCAUUCCAGAAGCAGUUUGAGGACUUUUCUCACUAUCUUCCCACUCACUCCAGGAGUGGGGAGGUAAUUUUCCUUUGCCUUUUAGCCGUGAUAAGUAGUUUACCCUUGAGGAAAAAGGAGAGGGGAGGGGAGGGGAGCGGAGAGGAGCGGAGAGGAGAGGAGAGGAGAGGAGAGGAGAGGAGCGGAGCGGAGCGGAGCGGAGAGGAGAGAGAAGAGAGUCUUUGGGAUUACCUGUUUGGGAAACCCAUCUUCUCUGGCAUUAAAAAAAUCAUGCAGAGUUGGGCAGUCCUUCACUAAAGCCGGUCUUUGUGAACAACCUUCCUCCUGCUCCAAAGCAGGCUAUGAGAAGGCAGGAACAUCUCUGAUAACACACUCUUUACGAUGUUACUUUUAUAACAAUACCUAUACAGUUUCUAAGCAUGCUGAAAUGUCACCCUAAGUUAUAAAAGUUUCUUAGACUUGAUGGUGAUAGAUUUUAUCCACUUGGAUGCUAUAAGAAUAGACACCAAGAAUUGCUUUUUUGUCACUCAGUUGGCGUACACAAACCCUGUAUACUCACUCAGUUACCCCAGCUGUUAAAUGCAAUUUAGCAAAACACUUAAACAUAUCCUAUGUGUAGCCUGAAGGUAUGAAAUGGUACAAUAGCUCUUCCUAUGCUCCCCUGGGGGGGGAACAAAGUAGUAUGACCUUAGUCUUCCUAUUUUGUCCCUAAGUAUCUACAGUACCAUAUUACAGAGAAAUCUGUUAUGUCAGGUCACUUGAAGAUAAUAUAAUUGAAACAUCAUGUCUGCGUGCACACAUAUAUACACAUGUGAUAAAUGUUUUGAAUCUUGGGUGUCCCCUUACAGUGGGUCAUCCUGUGAAAAAGAUGUAGCUCAAAUCCAGCAUUGCAGAUGGGACCUUCUGAUUCAAACUGUGGAGGGCCAAAUAUGCCCUUAACAAUUCCUUAUCUAUGUACCACAGUAUGCUGAACACUGUGGAUUACUCCUGUUCUCCUUGGGCUUUCCACAGGUGCAAGGACAGGGAUGUUAAAGCCUGGAGCCAAUAAAUACAGGCUUUCAUAUUUUAUCA